CCUUACGGGAGGCAGCAGCAAGGAAUUUUCCGCAAUGGACACAUGUCUGACGGAGCAACGCCGCGUGCAGGACGACGGCCUUCGGGUUGUAAACUGCUUUUGGGUGGGACGAUGAUGACGGUACCACCCGCGUAAGCCCCGGCUAACUCCGUGCCAGCAGCCGCGGUAAGACGGAGGGGGCAAGCGUUGUCCGGACUCACUGGGCGUAAAGCGUGCGUAGGUGGUGCGAUGCGUCGGCGCUGAAAGCCCGGGCUUAACCGGGCGACGGGCGACGAUACGAUCGCACUGGAGGCAGGGAGACGUUGGUGGAAUUCCGGGUGUAGUGGUGAAAUGCGUAGAGAUCCGGAGGAAUGCCGGUGGCGUAAGCGGCCAACGAGUCCUGACCUGACACUGAGGCACGAAAGCGUGGGGAGCAAACCGGAUUAGAUACCCGGGUAGUCCACGCCGUAAACGAUGUCGGCUAGGUGUGUGAUCGGGGUGACCCAUGGCGU
rnacentral:rRNA from 1 species